rnacentral:rRNA from 1 species
CCGGUAGAGGAGUGUGGAAUUUCUGGUGUAGCGGUGAAAUGCGCAGAUAUCAGAAGGAACACCAACAGCGAAGGCAGCACUCUGGGCCGGUACUGACGCUGAGGAGCGAAAGCAAGGGGAGCAAACAGGAUUAGAUACCCUGGUAGUCCAUGCCGUAAACGUUGGGCACUAGGUGUGGGAAGGAGUCAACCCUUUCCGUGCCGUAGCUAACGCAUUAAGUGCCCCGCCUGGGGAGUACGGCCGCAAGGCUAAAACUCAAAGGAAUUGACGGGGGCCCGCACAAGCGGCGGAGCAUGUUGCUUAAUUCGAGGCAACGCGAAGAACCUUACCUGGGUUUGACAUGUAGAGGACAGCCGUAGAGAUACGGUUUCCUUUUGGUCUCUACACAGGUGGUGCAUGGUUGUCGUCAGCUCGUGUCGUGAGAUGUUGGGUUAAGUCCCGCAACGAGCGCAACCCUUGUCCUAUGUUGCCAGCGGGUAAAGCCGGGGACUCGUAGGAGACUGCCGGGGUCAACUCGGAGGAAGGUGGGGACGACGUCAAAUCAUCAUGCCCCUUAUGUCCAGGGCUGCAAACAUGCUACAAUGGCUGGUACAUCGGGCCGCGAGAUCGCGAGAUCGAGCUAAUCCCUCAAAGCCAGUCUCAGUUCGGAUUGAAGUCUGCAACUCGACUUCAUGAAGCCGGAGUCGCUAGUAAUCCCGGAUCAGCAACGCCGGGGUGAAUACGUUCCCGGGCCUUGUACACACCGCCCGUCACACCACGAAAGUUGGCAACGCCCGAAGUCAGUGGCCCAACCCCUUGGGGAGGGAGCUGCCGAAGGCGGGGCGAGCGAUUGGGGCGAAGUCGUAACAAGGUACCAAUCGAA